rnacentral:rRNA from 1 species
AACGAACGCUGGCGGCAGGUCUUAGGCAUGCAAGUCGAACGGGUGUAGCAAUACAUCAGUGGCGCACGAGUGAGUAACGCGUGGGAAUUUGCCCAUCGGUGGGGAAUAACGUUUGGAAACGAACGCUAAUACCGCAUACGUCGAGAAAUCGAGAAAGAUUUAUCGGCCGAUGGAUAAGCCCGCGUCGGAUUAGCUUGUUGGUAGGGUAAUGGCCUACCAAGGCGAUGAUCCAUAGCUGGUCUGAGAGGACGAUCAGCCACGCUGGGACUGAGACACGGCCCAGGCUCCUACGGGAGGCAGCAGCUAAGAAUAUUGGACAAUGGAGGAAACUCUGAUCCAGCCAUGCCGCGUGAGUGAAGAAGGCCUUCGGGUUGUAAAGCUCUUUUAGUCGUGAGGAUGAUGACGGUAGCGGCAGAAAAAGCACCGGCUAACUUCGUGCCAGCCGCCGCCGUAA